rnacentral:piRNA from 1 species
UAUCAUGGAUAUUGCUGCCAAGGGAAACCC